rnacentral:tRNA from 1 species
GAGGGUAUAGCUCAAGUCGUAGAGCAUAUGCUUGGCAUGCAGAAGGUCCUGGGUUCAAUCCCCAGUACCUCCU